rnacentral:rRNA from 1 species
CAGCUUUGUGACGGGACCAGCUGGCUGGUGCCAUGAGGUGACUUCUGCCCAGUGCUCUGAUUGUCAAUGCGAAGAGAUUCAGCCAAGCGCGGGUCAACGGCGGGAGUAACUAUGACUCUCUUAAGGUAGCCAAAUGCCUCGUCAACCAAUUAUUGACGCGCAUGAAUGGAUCAACGAGAUUCCUGCUGUCCCUAGGUGCUGUCUGGUGAACCAACAGCCAAGGGAACGGGCUUGGAUGUGUCAGCGGGGAAAGAAGACCCUGUUGAGUUUGACUCUAGUUUGAUGCUGUGCAACAACAUGGAGGGUGUAGCACAGGUGGGAGGCAAGUGCCAUCAAAGAGAGAGAAGCCUGUCCCACCAGGAAUCAGGUAUCCUGAGACCUGUGUGUGGACUGUGCUGUGAAUCCCUGAGCAAUUGGUGCAAGCCAGCAGUGAAAUACCACUACCUUCACCGUUGUUUUACUCAUCGAGUGGCUUGGGAACAGUGGCCAUCAGACAAUCAGUCACUGCACUCUGUGGUGGCUGGGGCCUUGACCUGAUUCGUGAUUCAAGCACUGCACUCUGUGUGGUGUGCCUCCAGUGGGCUUCACUGGUCUUUGGAUUGGUGCCUCGGGACAAUGAUCAGUUGGGGAGUUUGGCUGGGGCGGCACGCCUGUUACAGCACAACGCAGGCGUCCUGAAGCAUUGCUCAGAUGGAACAGAACUCUGCCAUGGAGGAGCAGGCCAAAGGUGCUGCUGAUGCUGUGGCUUCCAGUACAAGCCCAAAACGUGCAAGUGUGGCCUAUCGAUCCUUUGGAUCCCAUUCGGGUUCUGGAUAUUGAAGCCAGAGGUGUCAGAAAAAUUACCACAGGGAUAACUGGCUUGUGGCUGCCAAGCGUUCACAGCGACGUUGCUUUUUGAUCCUUCGAUGUCGGCUCUUCCUAGCUUCCCGCCCGCAGCCGAGCGGAAGAGUUGGAUUGUUCACCCACCAACAGGGAACGUGAGCUGGGUUUA